rnacentral:rRNA from 1 species
GGACCAUAGCGAGAUGGAACCACCUGAUCCCAUUCCGAACUCAGUAGUGAAACGUCUCAGCGCCGAUGGUAGUGUGGCAGGUGCCAUGUGAGAGUAGGUCAUCUCCAAGC